CACGCCCUAAACGAUGAUUACUCGCUGUUGGCGAUAUACUGUCAGCGGCUAAGCGAAAGCGUUAAGUAAUCCACCUGGGGAGUACGAUCGCAAGGUUGAAACUCAAAGGAAUUGACGGGGGCCCGCACAAGCGGAGGAGCAUGUGGUUUAAUUCGAUGAUACGCGAGGAACCUUACCUGGGCUUAAAUGGCAUCGGACUGCUGCCGAAAGGUGGCUUUUCUUCGGAACUGAUGUCAAGGUGC
rnacentral:rRNA from 1 species